AGCCUGAACGCUGGCGGCGUGGCUAAGACAUGCAAGUCGUACGGACCCGCAAGGGUCAGUGGCGCACGGGUGAGUAAUGAAUCGCUAACGUACCCCGGACUCAGGGAUAGCUGUCCGAAAGGGCAGGUAAUACCUGAUGAUAUAACCUUGUCGCAUGACAAGGUUCUCAAAGGUCCGCCGGUCUGGGAGCGGGCGAGUUCGUAAGUCCGAGACUUAAGUGGUGAGGUAACGGCUACGACCAAGCGACGACGCGUAGGCCGGACUGAGAGGUGGCCGGCACGAUUGGGAUGAGCACUGCCCAGACUCCGAGGGGGCUGGACAGGUAAC
rnacentral:rRNA from 1 species